CAGUCGCCGCGGGAAUACGUAGGGUGCAAGCGUUAAUCGGAAUUACUGGGCGUAAAGCGUGCGCAGGCGGUUAUAUAAGUCAGAUGUGAAAUCCCCGGGCUCAACCUGGGAAUGGCAAUGGAUACUGGCAAGCUAGAGUGUGUCAGAGGAUGGUGGAAUUCCCGGUGUAGCGGUGAAAUGCGUAGAGAUCGGGAGGAACAUCAGUGGCGAAGGCGGCCAUCUGGGACAACACUGACGCUGAGGCACGAAAGCGUGGGGAGCAAACAGGAUUAGAUACCCGUGUAGUCCCUGUCUCUUAUAC
rnacentral:rRNA from 1 species